UUCCCAAGGGGAGGCGGUGAACCCUCGAGCCCAAGAUGGGCGCCAUGGGCCGAGGGGGAGCCAGUGGCGCAACCAGCCCCUAAAGCC
rnacentral:ncRNA from 1 species